rnacentral:ncRNA from 1 species
AAUCCCACUCGUUCCUCCUCAUCAGGGCUUAACUCUAGACAAGCUGUGGAAACUACCAAGUUGGAGUACGGUAGGGGCAAAGGGAAUUUCCGGUGGAGCCGUGAAAUGCGUAGAGAUCGGAAAGAACACCAACCGCGAAAGCACUCUGCUGGGCCACACUGACACUGAGGGACGAAAGCUAGAGGAGUGAAUGGGAUUAGAUGCCCUAGUAGUCCUAGCCGUAAACGAUGGUACUAGGCGUUGUGCGUAUCGACCCGUACAGUGUUGUAGCUAACGUGUUAAGUAUCC